rnacentral:lncRNA from 1 species
CAACUUAUUUGUUUAUUGCAACUUAUUCGUUGGUUGCAACUUAUUUGUUGAUUGCAACUUAUUUGUUGAUUGCAACUUAUUUGUUUAUAACAACUUAUUUAUUUAUAAAUUAUUUGUUUAUUGCAACUUAUUUGUUUAUUACAACUUAUUUGUUUAAUGCAACUUAUUUGUUUUGCUUUUUUUUAAUUUUUAUAAAACAGUAAAAAGUAUAAUACUUCCACACAUUGAAACGCUCAGCAUCAUACAAAGGUUGCAUAUAUUUUUAUUCUUUUUUUAUUUAUUUUAUCCGUGUAUCUCUCUCCAUAUAUAUCAGUCUGUUAUAAUAACAACCCCUUUGACUAAACCAUAUAUAUAUAUAUAUAUAUGUAUAUAUAUUUAUAUACACAUUUAUGUAUAUGUACACAUAUGUGCACUUUUCUACUGACAUAAUAUCUUAUAAUAAUAUAUUGUUUUUCACUUAAGUAUUCCCACAAAUCUGUCAUUGUAUAAAUAACACCUGAUCAUCCUACUUCGCCUCUGUAAUAUUGCAACGUUGCUAUGUAUUAGUGAAUAAAAAAAAAAAAAAAUAAAAAAUAAGAUAGAAAAAAAAUAAAAUAAAAAAACAAAAAAACAAUAUAUUAAGUAGCUAAACAAAAUAACACAACACAUAAAAAAUUAAAUAGCAAAACGUUUUUCCUUUUUAAUGAUUUGAAGUCGAAAUGAAUCAAUAUGAUCAGUGGAAUCGUAAACUACGGACCAUUUGGUACUGUAGUAGUCUGUAUGUAGAAUACAAAAAUGCAUUGCGUAAAUCCAAAAAAAUGCCAGUAGAAAAGAAAACAGAAUAUUGGGAAAAAAAGCAUGAGGAGUUUGCAACAAAAAUGUUAAAUAAUAUUUAUGAAUUGAAAGGUGAGUCUAAAAUGAUAUACAUAUAUGUAAUUUACUUGUACUUAUGUACACUCAACAACUAAUAUUUUGUUUAUUUUAUUUUUAAAAACAAAAUUUUCGUUGUACAGGGUGGUGGGUAAAAGUUGGUCAAUUUUUAAGUACUCAAGAAAAUAUAAUGCCAGGAGCAUAUAUAGAAAAAUUUACGAAAUUACAAGACAUGAUGCCUACUUCUUCUUAUGAUAAAAUAGAAGCUAUUUUAAUAAAGGAAUUAGGUUAUUUUUUGUAUACUAUUUA